CGUUGCCAGGCCUGGGCAUUCCCACAAAGCCAGCAGCAAGAACACUUCUGAGGGAGAACAGGGUUGUUAACAGGUUCCUGAGCUGAUUUCAGCAGCCUCGUGCCUGGAUACCUGGGGCUGAGUUCUGAUUGUCCUUGUGUCCAUUCUGUGCAUGUGAGAAGCGAUUUCCACUGAUGACUGAACAGUCUGGACUGCAAAUGUCUGCCUGAAAACUGAUUGGAAAAAUUACAUUUUCUGCUUGGGAUGUACCUCUGAAUGAACAGACACUUGAGCAAUAUCUUAAGCAAACUUGCUUCUUUAAAAAUAUCAGUGUAGUGAGAGCACUCGUGCUGCAUUUGGUGCUGCUCAGUUCUUGGUGUUGAUACUGCAGCAAGGUAUAAGCACAGGUGAGGACAUAAUUCAGCACUUCUCCUUUGGGCUCCUCAUAUUUUCUUUCCAGGGAAAAGGAGAACUAAUUCUAAUCUGAAAUGGCUUUGUGUUUUGAGCUUAAGUUUCUGGUAGGCUUGGGAGAAGUUUGUUAAUAAUUGUUUUUCCCUGUCUGUUCACCUCACCAGAAAGUUUCUCCUGCAUGAUGCAAAAUACAACUUCACCUUAUGGGUGGAUGGAGUCCUCAGCUAAGACAGAUUUGUGUUUUGGAAAUGAAGAAAUUUGACUAUUAAAGAACUGAGCAAAGCCACUCUCCAAGUCAGUGAGUGACAGCCUGUGCCCUAAAGAGAGGUGAGCAGCAAAAAUGGAGCAAAAAUGGACCCAGGAGCCCUCCCAGAGAUCCUGACAGCCCUGCCUGCAUUUCAGUGAGUGCCCUGCUGGUUCAAAUGCUGCAGUGAAUCCUGAGAGGAGGCAGAGUGAGAGCUGAGGAUCAGAAAUGGAUGGUCCAGGAAGAUUUUGGUUGUGAACAGAAAGAGUGAGGAAGGAAGAUCCCUUUUGUUCCUUGCUGACAAAUCUGACUGAGUUGGGAGGUACUGUCAGAGAGUGAAGCACUAAGGCCCAAAACCUCAAAGGUGCAAGGAUUUUUAACCUCUGCUGAUUUCUCUCAUUGUCUAGCUAACUUUCUCUUAAUGUGCAUUUUCUUAAAAUUAAAACUUCCAUUAAAAACCUUCAAAAGCAUAUUUGCA